UACGUAGGGUGCAAGCGUUAAUCGGAAUUACUGGGCGUAAAGCGUGCGCAGGCGGCUUUGUAAGUUUGUCGUGAAAUCCCCGGGCUCAACCUGGGAAUGGCGAUGAAGACUGCAAGGCUAGAAUCUGGCAGAGGGGGGUAGAAUUCCACGUGUAGCAGUGAAAUGCGUAGAGAUGUGGAGGAACACCGAUGGCGAAGGCAGCCCCCUGGGCCAAGAUUGACGCUCAUGCACGAAAGCGUGGGGAGCAAACAGG
rnacentral:rRNA from 1 species